AGCAGAGAAUUGUUUAUAAAAAAACAAUAUACUGAAACUGUAUCGUAACAAAUGACGAAAAUUUUGCGGAAAUUAUCUGUUGCAGUAAAGGCUUGCUCAGCUUUCAUUGUAACGGUGUUUGAAUACUCGAGUGAAAUAGGUUAGUUACAAUGACAACUAUGAAAGAAUGCAUACCUAAAAACAAAAGCAGCAAAAAUUGGAAACAAGAAAAAGAACUUGAAGAAGCAGGAACAGCUCUUGUUGUUGUAAACAAAAAUGGCAAAGAGAUGAAUCCUUAUAUUCCACAUUACAUUAGAAAUGCAUUGUGGUAUGUUGAAGCUACUGAAAAUUAGCGCUAAGUACACGAACAGUAUCAUCGUUUUUGAUGAACUUGUUCAAUUGAAUUUUUUAAUAAAUUAUGACGCUUGAAGAGAUAGAUAGGUCAAUUAUGACCCUUCGGAAUACUGAAGGACUGUUAAAGAAUAUCAAAAAACUGAAGCUGUCAAAAGCGAAAUGCUAUCAGAAAAACUCAAUGCUAAAGGAGACAAAAAUGAAUAUACUGAUGAUAUCGAAAUACCUGGACCCAAAGUAGGCUCUAAACAAUGAAUUGUUGUUAAAAAUCUAUGAAUACGCGAAGAUACAGCUAAGUAUCUCAGAAAUUUGGAUGUUAACAGUUAUGAUCCUAAAGCACGAUCAAUGCAAAAAAAAUCAAAUACUGGGAAAGAUGUAGAAGUUGAUUAUAUAGGAGAGAAUCUCGUUCGAAUCACAGGAGACUUUCAAAAUAUGAUAAAAAAAAAGGUGAAGUGAACGAGAAAUUUAAAAGAAGAUUAUUUGCUAAGUAUUGAGGAGAAGAAUAUCUUCCAAUUUCAAGCACAGACUAAAAAUUUAUUGAUGUAUUUAUGAAUUUUAAUAAAGAAAUAUGAUAGUGAUAAUUGAAAAAAUUUUAUUCAUUUAAGUCAAUUCUUAAAGUAGGGGACUGUGAUCCUAUCUUUUUCAAGUGUCAGACAAUCAAUGAGAUCUAUCUUUAGAGCAAUUUAUAUACUGUUUGUUGUGAAUUUAACGACUUACUCAGAUUGAUAUUUAUGUUUUUGGAGUACUGAUAGUUUUAAUGCUCCGAAAAGUUUGGGAAGGUCUUCAAAACAUAACAUCAGCUCAUACAACAACCAAAAAGACUAAAUUAUUUUUGUAUUUAUUUUAGAAUGAACAUGAAUAAAUUUUAAAAUUAUUUAAAAUACAA
rnacentral:lncRNA from 1 species